AGCCUUGAAGUGUUGUUUACACGUCAGAUUGCAAACCUGAAAAUGCAGAGUAACGACUGCCUGGGCUU
rnacentral:tRNA from 1 species